UACAGAGGUCUCAAGCGUUGUUCGGAUUCAUUGGGCGUAAAGGGUGCGUAGGCGGCGCGGUAAGUCGGGUGUGAAAUCUUGGAGCUUAACUCCGAAACUGCAUUCGAUACUGCCGUGCUUGAGGACUGGAGAGGAGACUGGAAUUUACGGUGUAGCGGUGAAAUGCGCAGAUAUCAGGAAGAACACCCGUGGCUAAGGCGGUUCUCUAGUACGGUACUGACGCUGAGACGCGAAAGCGUGGGGAGCGAACAGG
rnacentral:rRNA from 1 species